AGGACGAACGCUGGCGGCGUGCUUAACACAUGCAAGUCACGGGGGUCCCGCAAGGGAUAACCGGCGAACGGGUGCGUAACACGUGAGCGACCUGCCUUUGUGUGGGGGGAUAGCCGGGCUAACGCCCGGGUAAUACCGCAUACGGUUCUCGAGGGGAGUCCCUUGGGAAAGAAACCUCCGGGGCACAGAGAGGGGCUCGCGGCCUAUCAGCUAGUUGGCGGGUAAUGGCCCACCAAGGCGACGACGGGUAGCUGGUCUGAGAGGAUGGCCAGCCACAUUGGGACUGAGAGACGGCCCAGACUCCUACGGGAGGCAGCAGUGGGGAAUCUUGCGCAAUGGCCGACAGGCUGACGCAGCGACGCCGCGUGUGGGAGGACGCCCUCGGGGUGUAAACCACUGUUGCCCGGGACGACAGCCAGUUGCGACUGGCCUGACGUACCGGGUAGAGGAAGCCACCGGACUAACCCCGUCGCCAGCAGCCGCGGU
rnacentral:rRNA from 1 species